UGCAUACAUGUGGUAUGCACAUGCAGACAAAACACUCAAACACAUAAAAUAAAAAUAGCAAAAAAAAAAUCCUUUUUUGCAAUCCAGAACUCAUUGUUUGGUAUGGGUUUUGAUACAUAUAAGAAGAAAUAUG